rnacentral:rRNA from 1 species
UACGGAGGGUGCAAGCGUUGUUCGGAAUCACUGGGCGUAAAGCGCGCGUAGGCGGCCCGCUAAGUCUGAUGUGAAAGCCCGGGGCUCACCCCCGGAAGCGCAUUGGAGACUGGCGGACUCGAGUCCCGGAGAGGAGGGUGGAAUUCCUGGUGUAGCGGUGAAAUGCGUAGAUAUCAGGAGGAACACCGGUGGCGAAGGCGGCCCUCUGGACGGUGACUGACGCUGAGGCGCGAAAGCGUGGGGAGCAAACAGG